AGUGCCACAGAACUAUCUGGGCCUCUUCCUCUAUCCUUCCUUGUGUGAUCGCUCCUUUCAAAAGCAACAGCCAAAGCAGAUGUAAGGGAAAUGCAUUGGUGCUCAUAAAUUCAAGGAGCUGAAAUGGCAACAGCUGUGGCAAUUUCAGGAUUUCAGCAGGUAAUCAAAUGGGUCAAAAUCAAAGUUGAUGAUCAGUCAUAUGAUCUCCAGCAGCCCUGGAAGGGUGUGAGUUCUCGGCGUCCCAUGCAGGACCUCUGAAUAUACAGAGGUGCUGAAGGGGGAGCAUGCGUCAAAUGCCAGUGCCUUCUUUCUGUGUCCAAGCAAGUUAUGAUUGGAAUGGAAAGUAUAGCCACCCGGGGCUGUCAGUACCCCUAACCUACUCAAUUGCAGACAUGUUGAUACAGAACAUGAUCAUCGAAUUCCGGUGAAGCCACAGUGAUGGGAGUCCAGCAAGAGUGAAAGCAAGUAGAAGGAAGAAGCCCAGAAAAACCAAAGUGCCUAAGGGCCAUGAAAGCUGUAAUGACUCCUUACCAUGAAGUUCUCUCUCCUGAUACCAUGUGAAGAAG
rnacentral:lncRNA from 1 species